CCAGGGAAGAGGCUCUGAAAAUGGAAUUGAAAAAUGACAAAGACAUAUAGAAUAUCCUCAGGACUACUGCGGGAGGCUGUAAAAAAAAUAACGAUAGCUCGGGACAGCGCCUUUUUUGUUGAUAAAGAAAUCUUGUCAAAGAGUUCGGAACUCAAGAAUAGUUUGAUUAACCCGUGUCAUAAUGUUAUAAGGGAGUUUGUUAGAGAGUCAAGAGACUGCGACUCUGACGAUUAUAAAAGAGAGUACAGGCUAAAUGAUUAUAGGCUGGAGCUGACUCAGCCACCCUCUAAUAUAAGUUCGGGGGGUGAUGUGGUAAAGACUGUUAGAAGGUGGGAACUUAUAAAUCAAAAGUACAACGCCGAUCUAUGGAUACCCCCUGCUAAAAAAGGGGUUGUGAUUACACCUGAUAUUAUAGACAAAC
rnacentral:misc_RNA from 1 species